CAGCAGCCGCGGUAAUACCGGCAGUCCGAGUGAUGUCCGCUUUUAUUGGGCUUAAAGCGUCCGUAGCCAGCCCNNUAAGUCCCCGGUUAAAAUCUGACGGCUCAACCCGUCGGCUAUCUGGGGAAACUGGCGGGCUUGAGGCCGGGAAAGGUCAGAGGUACUCCUGGGGUAGGGGUAAAAUCCGAUAAUCCUGGGGGGACCACCAGUGGCGAAGGCGUCUGACUGGAACGGGCCUGACGGUGAGGGACGAAACCCUGGGGAGCGAUCCGGAUUAGAUACCCGGGUAGUCCAGGGCGUAAACCAUGUGGGCUGGGUGUGGGCUAAUCAGAAGGAUUAGUCUGUGCCGAAGCAAAAGCGAUAAGCCCACCGCCUGGGGAGUCUGGUCGCAAGGCUGAAAUUCCGGGAAGUAGAACCUAGAUCUCGGAACAGCAAACUUAAAGGAAUUGGCGGGGGGGCACCACAAGGGGUGGAGCCUGCGGUCUAAUUGGAUUCAACGCCGGGAAUCUUACCAGAAGCGACAGCCGGAUGACAGCCAGGUUGAUGACCUUGCUCAACAAGCUGAGAGGAGGUGCAUGGCUGCCGUCAGCUCGUACUGUGAAGCGUCCUGUUAAGUCAGGUAACGAGCGAGACCCACACCCUCAGUUGCCAGCAGAUCCGAGAGGAUGCUGGGGACUCUGAGGGGACCGCCAUCGAUAAGAUGGAGGAAGGAGUGGGCGACGGUAGGUCAGUAUGCCCCAAAUCUUCUGGGCUACACGCGCGCUACAAUGGCCGGGACAAUGGGCAGCGACUCCGAAAGGAGAAGCCAAUCCCCUAAACCCGGUCCCAGUCCGGAUUGAGGGCUGUAACUCGCCCUCAUGAAGAUGGAAUCCCCAGUAACUGCGUGUCAACAUCGCGCGGUGAACAUGUCCCUGCCCCUUGCACAC
rnacentral:rRNA from 1 species